rnacentral:rRNA from 1 species
GAUGAACGCUGGCGGCGUGCCUAAUACAUGCAAGUCGAGCGAACAGACGAGGAGCUUGCUCCUCUGACGUUAGCGGCGGACGGGUGAGUAACACGUGGAUAACCUACCUAUAAGACUGGGAUAACUUCGGGAAACCGGAGCUAAUACCGGAUAAUAUAUUGAACCGCAUGGUUCAAUAGUGAAAGACGGUUUUGCUGUCACUUAUAGAUGGAUCCGCGCCGCAUUAGCUAGUUGGUAAGGUAACGGCUUACCAAGGCAACGAUGCGUAGCCGACCUGAGAGGGUGAUCGGCCACACUGGAACUGAGAAACGGUCCAGACUCCUACGGGAGGCAGCAGUAGGGAAUCUUCCGCAAUGGGCGAAAGCCUGACGGAGCAACGCCGCGUGAGUGAUGAAGGUCUUCGGAUCGUAAAACUCUGUUAUUAGGGAAGAACAAAUGUGUAAGUAACUAUGCACGUCUUGACGGUACCUAAUCAGAAAGCCACGGCUAACUACGU